ACGGACACAUCACGUUGAUAUACCGGAUCCUGUACGAUCAUAAAAGUUAAGCAACAUUAAGCCUAGUCAUUACCUAGAUGGGUGACCGCUUGGGAAUACCAGGUGCUGUAAG